rnacentral:rRNA from 1 species
GUAGGUGGCAAGCGUUGUCCGGAAUUAUUGGGCGUAAAGCGCGCGCAGGCGGUCCUUUAAGUCUGAUGUGAAAGCCCACGGCUCAACCGUGGAGGGUCAUUGGAAACUGGGGGACUUGAGUACAGAAGAGGAAGGCGGAAUUCCAAGUGUAGCGGUGAAAUGCGUAGAGAUUUGGAGGAACACCAGUGGCGAAGGCGGCUUUCUGGUCUGUAACUGACGCUGAGGCGCGAAAGCGUGGGGAGCAAACAGGGAUUAGAUACCCUGGUAGUCCACGCCGUAAACGAUGAGUGCUAAGUGUUAGGGGGUUUCCCGCCCCUUAGUGCUGCAGCUAACGCAUUAAGCACUCCGCCUGGGGAGUACGGCCGCAAGGCUG